ensembl:lncRNA
AGUCAGAGAAAGCAUGGCUAUAUAAUUACAACAUGUGGACAGAGUGUUCUUUCAUGGUUAACUAAGUGCACUUACAAAAUUAAUCUGAACUCUAAGAAAUUGAGUUCAAAGCGAAAUUUUAGACUUAAGAAAGUACAUUGAAUAAAAAUUUAGGUACCCUAUAAAAGACCAGGGAUGUAGGGACUAGAAUUCUAGUUCUGGCUCUAUCCGCAACUGAUAUGGGUCUUAAUCAUUUAAUCUCUCCCGGCUCCAAGGCAGUUGAAUUAGAUUAACGUAACUGUAAUAUUCAAUUAUUCUACAACUCACACUUUACUUUUUAAAAAGCUGGUUAUUUUCUGUUACUGCUUAUAGGCACUGACUAUUCAUUCCUCUGUCUUAUUUUGAGGAGAGAGUGGAUGGAUCCUUUUCUUGCUAGAUGAUUCACAUGUACUUGUCACAUGUCUAUGUUAUUGCUUUUAUACUAGUUGGGACAUGGACCUUACUGAGAUGGGCUUACAAUGAAACAGGGUGAUGUGGAUUCAGUACCAAAAAUAUUUAAUAAGCGUUAUUAAGUUAUAUGGAGAAGGAAAUGGCAACUCACUCCAGUACUCUUGCCUGGAAAAAACCCAAGGACGGAGGAGCCUGAUAGGCUACAGUCCAUGGGGUCACAAAGAGUCAGACAUGACUGAGCAACUUCACUUUCUUUCACUUUAUUAAGUUAUAUAUGGCAUACUUACCAAAAGGCGAACGUUAAAAAGCUUGAUGUACUAAGCCACUUCAGUCGUGUUCGGCUCUUUGUGACCCCCAUGGGCUGUAACCAGCCAGGCUCCUCUGACUAUGGGAUUCUCCAGGCAAGAAUACUGGAGUGGGUUGCCAUUUCCUUCUCCAUGGGAUCUUCCCAACCCAGGGAUUGAAACUGCGUCUCCUAUGUCUCCUUCACUGCAGGUGGAUUCUUUACCACUGAGCCAUGUGAAGCAACAGGAGACCCAGGUUCAAUCCCUGUGUCAGGAAGGUGCCCUGGAGAAGGAUAUGGCAACACAUUCCAGUAUUCUUGCCUGGGAAAUCCCAUGGACAGAGGAGCCUGGCAGGC